AGUGAACGCUGGCGGUAGGCCUAACACAUGCAAGUCGAACGGCAGCACAGUAAGAGCUUGCUCUUACGGGUGGCGAGUGGCGGACGGGUGAGGAAUACAUCGGAAUCUACUUUUUCGUGGGGGAUAACGUAGGGAAACUUACGCUAAUACCGCAUACGACCUACGGGUGAAAGCAGGGGAUCUUCGGACCUUGCGCGAUUGAAUGAGCCGAUGUCGGAUUAGCUAGUUGGCGGGGUAAAGGCCCACCAAGGCGACGAUCCGUAGCUGGCCUGAGAGGAUGAUCAGCCACACUGGAACUGAGACACGGUCCAGACUCCUACGGGAAGCAGCAGUGGGGAAUAUUGGACAAUGGGCGCAAGCCUGAUCCAGCCAUACCGCGUGGGUGAAGAAGGCCUUCGGGUUGUAAAGCCCUUUUGUUGGGAAAGAAAAGCAGCAGGUUAAUACCCCGCUGUUAUGACGUUACCCAAAGAAUAAGCACCGGCUAACUUCGUG
rnacentral:rRNA from 1 species